rnacentral:rRNA from 1 species
AACGUAGGUGGCGAGCGUUAUCCGGAUUUACUGGGCGUAAAGGGUGUGCAGGCUGCCCCUCAAGUGGUGUAUGAAAGCACCCGGCUCAACCGGGUCAUGGUAUGCCAGACCGAAGGGCUAGAGAGCGAGAGCGGGACGUGGAAUUCCGGGUGUAGUGGUGAAAUGCGUAGAGAUCCGGAGGAACCCCAGAGGCGAAGGCGGCGUCCUGGCUCGCAUCUGACGCUCAGACACGACAGCAUGGGGAGCGAACGGG